UUCCUUGACAGUGUACAGACACUUUAAACGUCAGCCAUGUUUGAAGCGGAGAGAAAAAUUGCGGAGCAGCUCCGGUCUUGAAAUGCCCAGAUUCUGGCACCAAAAUAACCAGAUUCCGACAAAAGUGGGCAGAAUCUUCCACCACCAACCGGUUCCCCAGCAGCCAGCAGGAAAAAGUGAAAACAAUAAUUGAGAUGGCAGAACUUUACCGAGGGUUUUUGCAGAGGGACCGACUUCUUGGCCACUUCCCUUAGGGCUGAUUUACCGCUGAACAUCCGGCCACAUCUGCUCAGGCGGGCAAGAACACUUGAGCGGCUGACGUCGAUUUGUUUCCUGGAACAGCUUCCGAAAAUUUUGCCGCGAGAAUUUGAGUUCGCUGUUUGGAGAAGGAGCACGGAGGUGUUCCCGCAAGCACUUCGCCGCCGCUCCGAGCAAGCUGAUCAUUGUUUUUUGAACCGAUCGGGCACAACUACAAGGCCCCAUCAACGGUUCCAAAUAAUUCGGAAGAUUGGAUGAAACGAGCAGCGAUCGACUUUACGGUGAAGCUAGUGUUUUGUGUUUAAUCUUGUGUGCUCAACGCUUUACGAAAGUGCAGCUAAUAAAAUGAUUUUAAACGAA
rnacentral:lncRNA from 1 species